CCUGUUUGUUUUGCUGCCUGCUGUCAUUCUCUGUCAAGACCAAAAAGAUGCUAACUCCGGAGGCGGUGUGGCACUUCCCGGUCCAAAUGUGGGACCGGGUUCUGUCCAAGGUGAACCGGGCCGUGGUGUUUAUGGACGACACAUGCGCGGAGGUCCUCCACUGGAGCACCGGGGGUGCUGCCGCCUUGUUCCAGGCCGGAGCCCGAAACAUGAAGCAGUUCUCCAGCUUCGAGUCGUGUAGUGACAGCGAGCCCAAGGCGGUGUUUGUGGUGAGCACCUUGCUGAAAGGCCGCACAGUGGACACCAUGAAGGACAUAAUCUCCCUCAGCCACCUGCAGUACUGCGUGGUGGUCACCACCGUGUCCCACUCACUACACCUGCUCGCCAACAACGUCACAGCGGACGUGGAUGGAGCGCCUGUGUUCGAGCAGUUUGAGGACAAGCUGUGCGAGUGGAUGGGCGACAUGAACUAUACGGCCGAGGUCAUGCACGUGCCCCUGACCUUCGCCCCUGUGUCCCAGCAGCUGCUGCUGGCGCCCGCUUAUGCACCGCUUUUCCCGCUGCUGCCCCCCGACCUGCGUGCUAUCAACGCCAAGCGUCCCGAGAAGAAGCGGUUCGGGAGCCUGCUGGAUGUGGACGUCCCCUCGCUGCCUGCCGAGCUGCAGAUUGAGAUCAAGUCGCUGGCGGCGGCGUUGAACGCCAUGUUUGAGGCCACAGGAACCAGAGAGGAGAGCUUCGCUGUGGGCCACAUGAGUCGUCUCAUAGCAGGGGAACUGGCCAGUCACCCCCAGGCUAAGAACCGCAGGAAGACGGCCCCCAAUAAAGCGUCGAUCAUCUUUGUGGACAGAACCUUGGACCUCACAGGCGCUGUUGGUCACCAUGGCGACAACUUGGUGGAGAAGAUUCUGACUGUGCUAAAACGCUUGCCGGGUCACGUGACCGAUGUACAGGUAGACAUGCAGGAGCUGACCAGUGUGCAGAUCAGUCCUUAUUCGCAGAGCAGUGUGGCGCCGGGCUGCCUUGCACAGACUCAGUCACCUGCAGCACAUUUACUUUGGGAGACCAUGCUCACCAGUAAGCACAAAGAAGCAGUGAUGGCGGUGCGACGCCAACUAGUGGAAGCCGCCAGCAAGGAGAAGCUGCCGAUCAAGAUGAGCAUGGGCCGCGUGACCCCUGAGCAGCUUUGCUCCUAUGCGCAGCUGUUUCGGCACAAUUUGGGGGCGCUAGAGAGUCACUGCGGGGUGCUCCAGCUGGGCCUGGCUACGGCUCAGACCCUCCGACACCCCCGCCUUUCCCGCUGGGAUGCCUGUCUGGCCUUUGAGAGGCUGCUGCUGCAGGCUCUGGGAGAUGCUGAAUUUCCCGUGGUGCUGAGGCAGCUGCUGCCCCUGAUGAAGCCCCGCGAAGGAGGCCAGGACAGCGGGUCCGCCUCAAGGUUCGGGGAAGACGAAUGCGGGCCUGACGAGCUGAUCCUCCUGCUGGUCUACCUGUAUUCGAUGGCCGACGAGGCGCAGCCAGCAGACCAGGAGGACGCCCAGGAGGAGGAACUGGAGAAGCUGGAGAGGGAGCUGAUGGGAGCGCUCACGCUGGCCAUCACCAGAGAGAUGGCACUCAGCCCGUUACUGCAAAAACUCACAGGGUGCACCCAGGCGGACGAGCUGACCACAGAGAGGGUCCACUCCACGGUGGAGGACAUGUUCCAGACCCUCCGUGGGCUGAGCCACGCCAGAGACCACCUGAAACAACUGCGACGCGUCUACACAGCCAGCGAUGGCGUCCACCAGGCCACCUAUCGGCCAUUCCUACGACAGAUUCUGGAGGAGGUCUUUCACCCGGACAGACACGAAUGUCCCGACAUCGAGCACAUGUCCGGGGGCCUCACGGACUUCCUGAAGACCGGAUUCAGCAUGUUCAUGAAGGUGAGCCGCCCACAUCCCAGCGACAACCCACUGCUCUUCCUUUUCCUGGUGGGUGGAGUCACACCCUCAGAGCUCCGCCUCAUCAAGGAGACCAUCGCUGCCUUGAAACCAGGAACUCAGGUGCUGGUUCUGUCCAAUAGACUGCUUAGGCCCACCGACAUACCCGACCUCCUCUUCACCAUGCAGAGACUGGCGCCAGACAUUGGCGUCUGAGGAGGCAGCACGUGCACCUGCGGCAGGUGACGAGCGCCGCCAUGGAACACCAACAGCUCCUUUGGAUCAAAGUUUCUGAGCCUGUUAGAGGUUAUAAGGUGUGAACAGAGGAAGGCCUGCUGCUGAGGUGAAUACACACAACACCCCCCUUCACCUAUGAACAUUCUGUCACACCUCAAUACAUCACACCAGAGGUAGGCCCUGUCCACACGGGAACGUUCUUGGGAUUUUUUUAUUUUUGACGGGUGUCCACGCUGUGCCAGAUUAGUAUAUAGUUACAUCCAGACGGGAACGGAUAACUGAGGGCGCUCCUAUGUGUGGCUCUGUGAACUGACACACAGACGGAACC